CUGUGCAUGCUCCACAAUGUGCCUGGAGAGAUUGAUGUUUUGUCAUCCACCUGCUUCAAAGCUGUAAAAUCCGGCAAGCAGCAGCAAACGGAGAGACUUACCCAGCCCGGAAAAAACAAACAAAGAGAGACCUUACUGGUGCUGUUUACACAUCUGUGUGGAGGACUAUCUGGGCUUGUGUAUUUUGACAUCGCGCUCAAAUGGCUGCACGGCUCCUGUCUCAGUGAAACGGAAGAUGUAGAGGAGAUGGAUGCUGAAGUGAAGGAGCCAAGGUGAGCCCUGGACGAAGGGAUCUGCAGGAGGAAAGGAGAGAGGGAGUGUAGGCUGAACUGGGCCACAGUACUCGAACUGGGAGUACUGGGAGAAGAGAUGGGAGAGGGCAGCUCCGCUGACUGGAGGAGUACCAGCUGGUCUCAAGCAGAAAGCAAUAUCCUGUCACCUGAUCUUGAUGACUUCCUGUCCCGUUUUGAAACCAGGAAGUACAGUUGAGGAAUGAAGCAGGUAAGAGUCAGAUCUUUGAAAAAUAAGAAGAAAGGUAGGAUCAGAUGGUGUCUCUCUCCAACUACAAACAACAGGAGAACUUCAUUAUGAGGAUGAGUAGCACAGAGAGAGACAGAGAGAGAGGGAGGGAGGAAGGAGGAGAUAUUGUUUCAUUUUUCUCAUAAGACACAAACACACCGUCUCCACAUCUUGCACUCCUGUGACCACACAUACAGUACCAUAUACUUCUCCUGCCCCACACGUAUCUUACCAAACACACAACACCACAACGUUAUCUUAUACCAUUACCACACAUCUUAUCAUAUGCACAAUACCAUACACUUCCACAUAGAUAAAACCCAUUUAUUUUCUCAGCUCAAUGCCAUAUUCAACCCUGAAUAAAAUGCAUUGUAUUUCAUUGUUUUCUUGGUCAGAGCUACUAUGUGGGUGUUGUUUUGACUGGACAGUCCUUUCUGAUGGUGGCGUAACAAGGGGAAUGUGUCGGGCCCCUGGGGUAUUGUUUUCUGCAUCAGGACCUAUUUAUGUGUGUGUAUGUGUGUGUGUAUGAUGUUCCGUAUGUGUGUGUGUGCUGUUCUGACAGUACUGUAAUCUGUGUGCAGGUCAUCAUUCUUAAUGCAGCCCGUGUCAUCAGUUCCCGUGACAACAGGAGAAAUGAUGUGGAGGAUACAUA